GGGGUUAUGGCUCAGUGGUAGAGCGCUUGCCUAGUGUGCAGGAGGCCUUGGGAUCAAUCUCCAGUACCA
rfam:Ictidomys tridecemlineatus contig011952, whole genome shotgun sequence.